rnacentral:rRNA from 1 species
UACGUAGGGGGCAAGCGUUGUCCGGAGUUACUGGGCGUAAAGGGUGUGUAGGCGGUUGCUUAAGUUUGGUGUGAAAUCUCCCGGCUCAACCGGGAGGGUGCGCCGAAUACUGAGUGACUAGAGUGCGGGAGAGGAAAGUGGAAUUCCUGGUGUAGCGGUGAAAUGCGUAGAUAUCGGAAGGAACACCAGUGGCGAAAGCGGCUUCCUGGUCCAGCACCGACGUUCAGGCACGAAAGCGUGGGGAGCAAACAGG